CCCUAGCCAGGGGAGUGGUGGACACAGCAGCGAGUGACAGCCAGUGCACAUGGCUAGGGACUCCGGGAUGGCCGGGAAGGUGACACUGCUCCUGUGGGUGGCCGCAGGGGUCGGUGGAGCCCUUCUGUUCCUGCUCCUGCUUGUGGCUGUGAUUGUGGCCUGGCACCAGUGGCACCGUGUGGAUGGCAGCUGCCAGGAACCAUCAGGAAAGUGUCCCCCCGUGCCACCACCCUCCAGGAUCCCCAGAUGACCUACGUGGAGCUGCGGGGACACCAGGGGCGACCGCGGGAACCCAGUGACAUCUACGGGAAUGUGCUGUGACACUGGGGGGAACUGGGGGCACUGGGGGUCCCCACCCAUGGGCACCCACUCAUGCUGCCACUAAAAACUGCCCCUCUCCCUCCCUGUGGGGGCACAAAGAUCCCAAAGGGCUGAGAGAAGAACAAUUUUCUGAAACAGCAACGAGAGAGAAUAAAACCAACAGCAA